GAAGAAGCAGCUAAGAGUCCACGGGUACAGCACAAUCCGGUGCAGUUAUGAGACUGUCUGCCAGUGGGGCCGACUCUUCCCAACCAGCUGCAGGGGAAUGCGACAUCACCGUGACAGCAAGACACCACUGCUCUGCUGAAAGUCAAGAGUCUGGGCAGCUUCUGUCCGAAUCCCUGCAUUCCUGCUUGGGCUGCUCCCUCCGUCCUGGGAACUGGCUCUGACUCAGGGGAGACUUGUGCUCUGUGGCCUCACUAUCUGGGCUGGCACUCACACCGUGUUCGAGACAGAAGGAACUUGCCAGAUCCAUGGUGUAAAGUGAGAUGAUGAAAUACUCUUUUUUUUUUUAAGGACUCAUUUGCAAUACAUACUGAUUGCUUCAUCAUGGGGGAUCAGUCCGCGUACAUAACACAUCUUAAUCCUCUUUGAUAUAAUGAAAUCUUCUAAGGGAAAUGCUGAAGAGUGGGCU
rnacentral:lncRNA from 1 species